GCUGCCUGUGAUUGAUGCCUGUGUUAUCUUCCAGGUCUUGUUAAAUACUUCACAGAAUAAUCUUUGCCAUGAUUUUACUGGGCACUGAAGUCAGACUGACAGGCCUGUAGUUUCCAGGGUCCUCCUUCUUGCCUUUCUUGAAAAUUAGGAGAACAUUCACCAACUUCCAGUCAGCUGGGACUUCUCUGGAUU